rnacentral:rRNA from 1 species
UACGAAGGGUGCAAGCGUUACUCGGAAUUACUGGGCGUAAAGCGUGCGUAGGUGGUUCGUUAAGUCUGAUGUGAAAGCCCUGGGCUCAACCUGGGAAUGGCAUUGGAAACUGGCGACCUAGAGUGCGGUAGAGGGUAGUGGAAUUCCCGGUGUAGCAGAGAAAUGCGUAGAGAUCGGGAGGAACAUCUGUGGCGAAGGCGACUGCCUGGACCAGCACUGACACUGAGGCACGAAAGCGUGGGGAGCAAACAGG